rnacentral:misc_RNA from 1 species
AACAAGGCGUACCUGCGGACCUGCGGAGGGAUCAUUACCAAUUCAACGGUGUGGUCGCGGCCUCCGGGGGCUCCCCCCGGGCGGUAGAGGUAACACUCUUACGCGCCACAUGUCUGAAUCCUUUUUUUACGAGCACCUUUCGUUCUCCUUCGGUGGGGCAACCUGCCGUUGGAACUUAUUAAAACCUUUUUUUGCAUCUAGCAUUACCUGUUCAGAUACAAACAAUCGUUACAACUUUUA